UAUCUUACUCAUGUUCACUUGAUGAGAAAGUGACAGAUCUGAGACAAACCCAGAUCGACAGAAAAGAAAUGAGUCAACGAUGGUGCAGAAAGGGACCAGCUUGACGAAGCUUCUGCUUUUGUGACUGUCUCCUAAUGAAACCAGAGCACCUCAGAAGAUCAAGGCUUCCAAAUUCUCCUGGGGGAACAGACGUCAGCCAUUCAGCACAAAGGAAACUUCCUUCUCUGUAUGUCAGAGGAAGACAUAAUUGUGCCAUUUCCUUCUUGAAGAAGUUUACAAACAUUUGCAAGUUGUCAAAAAUAAUUAGUCUAAAAUUGUUUCAUAAACCGUGGAAUGAAACAGGACGUGCCUUGUUGAGAUCAAAGGGCUUCUGUUACCUUCUUGUAAACUCAAAUGAAAUUCUUUUGAAAGUAAA
rnacentral:lncRNA from 10 species